UCAACAGGGACAUGGUCAACUAGAUGUAUUUGAUUAUUUUUGUUUUAUUAGAUAUUCUUGAGACAGCCCCACUGAAGGCCCCUGAUAACUUGAUGUGUUUGAAAUUCCUCUUGGUUUACCAUUCCCUAGAACUCAUCCUUCUGGGCCUGUGUGGGGUUCUCAGCUUGUCUCUGCUUGGAGUUCACAUGCAUCAGGACUCUCUCUCUUCUGUGUAGAUGGGAUGGCUUCUAACUGGAUUGCCUGACUCUUGGGAAAAGUAACAGCUUGAGAUGGAGCAACCAGCAAGCAGCUUCUCAGCAGAAGGCCCAGGAGAAGAGGAAGCCACAGUGUAGUUUGCUGAGCCCCUGUUCGGAGGAAGAAGUGCCACACUAUCCAUCCUGUUUGUUUAAUGACACUCUGAACACGGAAUCCAGGCAGAGUCCCCUCCCCAAGGAAGGCCCACAUCAGGACAGAGUCCACAGAGAGCCAAGAGGAAAUGCUGGAGGAGACAACGCUGGAUCUGCACAGCAGGAAGAAGCGUCUCUUUGUUGUGUGAGUAAAUUAACCAGAAUCAUUGUCCACUUCUCAUGUAACCUAUCCCUUAGUUUGGCCUUCCUAGUUCACUAAUCUCUUGACACCUCUGUAAACUGCUGUUUGGAUUUCCAAAUAUUGACUGCAAACAACAACA